rnacentral:rRNA from 1 species
GACGAACGCUGGCGGCGUGCCUAAUACAUGCAAGUAGAACGAGUGGCGGACGGGUGAGUAAUGUCUGGGAAACUGCCCGAUGGAGGGGGAUAACUACUGGAAACGGUAGCUAAUACCGCAUACCAUCGGAUGUGCCCAGAUGGGAUUAGCUAGUAGGUGGGGUAAUGGCUCACCUAGGCGACGAUCCCUAGCUGGUCUGAGAGGAUGACCAGCCACACUGGAACUGAGACACGGUCCAGACUCCUACGGGAGGCAGCAGUGGGGAAUAUUGCACAAUGGGCGCAAGCCUGAUGCAGCCAUGCCGCGUGUAUGAAGAAGGCCUUCGGGUUGUAAAGUACUUUCAGCGAGGAGGCGUUACUCGCAGAAGAAGCACCGGCUAACUCCGUGCCAGCAGCCGCGGUAAUAC